rnacentral:misc_RNA from 1 species
UCUCCGUAGGUGAACCUGCGGAGGGAUCAUUACAGAGCUCAUGCCCUACCGGGUAGAUCUCCCACCCUAUGUUAUUAUUACUUUGUUGCUUUGGCGGGCCGUUAGGCUCCGGCCCGACUACCGGCCCCGGCUGGUAAGCGCCCGCCAGAGGACCCAAAACCCUGAAUAUUAGUGUCGUCUGAGUACUAUAUGAUAGUUAAAACUUUCAACAACGGAUCUCUUGGUUCUG